rnacentral:rRNA from 1 species
UGUGAAGCCGGGCCGUGAGGCAUCCGGUGGAGUGAUCGGAAGCGAGAAUGUUGACAUGAGUAGCGACAAACAGGGUGAGAGACCCUGUCGCCGAAAGUCCAAGGGUUCCUGCUUAAAGCUAAUCUGAGCAGGGUAAGCCGGCCCCUAAGGCGAGGCCGAAAGGCGUAGUCGAUGGGAACCAGGUUAAUAUUCCUGGGCCAGGAGAUGGUGACGGAUCCCGACGGUAGUUCAUCCUUAUCGGAUUGAAUGGGCUGCUUAGGGGUUCCUGGAAAUAGCCCUCCAUGAGACCGUACCCUAAACCGACACAGGUGGACUGGUAGAGAAUACCAAGGCGCUUGAGAGAACCACAUUUAAGGAACUCGGCAAAAUACCUCCGUAAGUUCGCGAGAAGGAGGCCCGGUUUUUGCGCAAGCAGAGGCCGGGGGCACAAACCAGGGGGUGGCGACUGUUUACUAAAAACACAGGGCUCUGCGAAGUCGUAAGACGACGUAUAGGGUCUGACGCCUGCCCGGUGCCGGAAGGUUAAGAGGAGAGGUGCAAGCCUUGAAUCGAAGCCCCGGUAAACGGCGGCCGUAACAAUAACGGUCCUAAGGUAGCGAAAUUCCUUGUCGGGUAAGUUCCGACCUGCACGAAUGGCGUAACGACUUCCCCGCUGUCUCAAAUGUGGACUCAGCGAAAUUGAACUGUCUGUCAAGAUGCAGACUUCCCGCGGUUAGACGGAAAGACCCCAUGAACCUUUACUCCAGCUUCGCACUGGCAUCAGGAUUGCGAUGUGCAGGAUAGGUGGUAGGCUUUGAAAUCGGGACGCCAGUUCCGGUGGAGCCACCCUUGAGAUACCACCCUUCGCACUCUUGAUGUCUAACCGCGGCCCGUUAUCCGGGUCCGGGACCAUGCGUGGCGGGGAGUUUGACUGGGGCGGUCGCCUCCUAAAAAGUAACGGAGGCGUGCGAAGGUAAGCUAGAGCUGGUCGGAAAUCAGCUUGAUAGUAUAAUGGCAUAAGCUUGCCUGACUGCGAGGCUGACAAGCCAAGCAGAGACGAAAGUCGGUCAUAGUGAUCCGGUGAUUCUGUAUGGAAGGGUCAUCGCUCAACGGAUAAAAGGUACUCUGGGGAUAACAGGCUGAUGAUGCCCAAGAGUCCAUAUCGACGGCAUCGUUUGGCACCUCGAUGUCGGCUCAUCUCAUCCUGGGGCUGAAGCAGGUCCCAAGGGUAUGGCUGUUCGCCAUUUAAAGAGGUACGUGAGCUGGGUUUAGAACGUCGUGAGACAGUUCGGUCCCUAUCUGCCGUGGGUGUAGGAGAUUUGAGAAGAGUUGCCCCUAGUACGAGAGGACCGGGGUGGACGUUCCACUGGUGGACCAGUUGUCGUGCCAACGGCAGUGCUGGGUAGCUAUGAACGGACAGGAUAAACGCUGAAGGCAUCUAAGCGUGAAGCCCCCCUCAAAACAAGGUCUCCCUUGAGAGCCGUGGAAGACCACCACGUCGAUAGGCCGGAGAUGUAAGUGCAGCAAUGCAUUCAGUUGACCGGUACUAAUGGCUCGAUAG